UAUUCAGCAAAAUAAUUUUUUCUAUGUGAAGGAUAAACAAAGACUUUCUCAUAUAACCAAAAAGUGAGGGAAUUUGUUGCCAGUAGACCUGCC